rnacentral:rRNA from 1 species
AGCGAACGCUGGCGGCAGGCCUAACACAUGCAAGUCGAACGAAGUCUUCGGACUUAGUGGCGGACGGGUGAGUAACACGUGGGAACGUACCUUUUGGUUCGGAACAACUCAGGGAAACUUGAGCUAAUACCGGAUGAGCCCUUAGGGGGAAAGAUUUAUCGCCGAAAGAGCGGCCCGCGUUAGAUUAGCUAGUUGGUGAGGUAAAGGCUCACCAAGGCUACGAUCUAUAGCUGGUCUGAGAGGAUGAUCAGCCACACUGGGACUGAGACACGGCCCAGACUCCUACGGGAGGCAGCAGUGGGGAAUCUUGCGCAAUGGGCGAAAGCCUGACGCAGCCAUGCCGCGUGAAUGAUGAAGGUCUUAGGAUUGUAAAAUUCUUUUACCAGGGACGAUAAUGACGGUACCUGGAGAAAAAGCCCCGGCUAACUUCGUGCCAGCAGCCGCAGUAACAC